rnacentral:tRNA from 1 species
GGGGAUUUAGCUCAGUGGUAGAGCACUUGCCUUGCAAGCACAAGGCCCUGGGUUCGGUCCUCAGCUCUG